GUGCCAGCAGCCGCGGUAAUACGUAGGGGGCAAGCGUUAUCCGGAUUUACUGGGUGUAAAGGGAGCGUAGACGGUUAUGCAAGUCUGGAGUGAAAGGGGGGGGCUCACCCCCCGGACUGCUCUGGAAACUGUAAAACUAGAGUGCAGGAGGGGUAAGUGGAAUUCCUAGUGUAGCGGUGAAAUGCGUAUAUAUUAGGAGGAACACCAGUGGCGAAGGCGGCUUACUGGACUGUAACUGACGUUGAGGCUCGAAAGCGUGGGGAGCAAACAGGAUUAGAUACCCUGGUACUCCACGCCGUAAACGAUGAUUACUAGGUGUCGGUGGGUCAAGACCCAUCGGUGCCGUCGCAAACGCAAUAAGUAAUCCACCUGGGGAGUACGUUCGCAAGAAUGAAACUCAAAGGAAUUGACGGGCACCCGCACAAGCGGUGGAGCAUGUGUUUUAAUUCGAAGCAACGCGAAGAACCUUACCUGGUCUUGACAUCCCGGUGAAUGCAGGGCAAUGCCUGCAGCCCUUCGGGGCACUGGAGACAGGUGGUGCAUGGUUGUCGUCAGCUCGUGUCGAGAGAUGUUGGGUUAAGUCCCGCAACGAGCGCAACCCUUAUCCUUAGUAGCCAGCGGUUAGGCCGGGCACUCUAGGGAGACUGCCGGGGGGCAACCCGGAGGAGGGCGGGGAUGACGUCAUAUUCAUCCACGCCCUCUUUAUGGCCAGGGCUACACACGGUGCUACAAUGGGCGCAAACAGAGGGAA
rnacentral:rRNA from 1 species